CUCUGGAAUUCAUGGCAUGGCCUGUGCUGAGCCAAUGGCCUGAGCACUUCUCCCUGUCUGGGGUGGCGAUUCCCUGGUGACAAAGAAGAGCCUGUUGUCUCAGCUCCGCACAGCCGUGAUGGUCCUGAGCUCCGUUCCCAGCCUUGCGCUGACUCACUCGCUGACCUUGCUGAGAAAGUCUGUGGGCUGCACCAUCGUCUCCUAAGGGGACUACAGGAUGUGCAUGAAUCAAAGGCAGCCUGACCAGAUCGUGGAGAGAGGCACACCCAGCGACAGUCCUGCAGCUCUCCUUGGGAUUAGGGCAG
rnacentral:lncRNA from 1 species